AGUUGUAGGCUGCGCAGAGGGACCGCACGCGCAAGCGUAAAGUACUUUGCACUCGUACGAAGAUUACGAGGAAACAAGGCGCGUGUUUAUGUGGCUCAGUGCCAACUAAAGCAACGUCAUGCCAACCGACGCAAAAGAAGCGUUCCUGGUUGUAUCAUCAAUCGCCAUAAUCGCACUUGUCGCACCAAGAGCGACGGCCCUGGCUGUUGCCGACAACCUAAACGAGAAAACGAAUUCCCUUCCGCAAGCCUCACCGCUUUUGAGAGUUAAGAGGAACGUAGGCUGCAUUGAUCACACGACUGCAAACGGAAACCUCUGCUAUAACGCCCAGUGUCCAUUUUUCUCCAUUGGGGCCUGCAAGGACGGGUUGUGCGCAUGCGUACCCAAAGGAACAAACAUGGCUGCACUUCGGGAGGUUUGCUACAGUAGCUGCUACGCAAGCUGCACGCACAGCUGUUUUGUCAACGAUUCCAUGAAGGAAAGCGUGAGAUCACCCUGCGACCACGACUGCACCAAGCUCUGUUACGAGAAUUAGCAGGCUGUGGAAUUGAAAAUUGUAUUUCGUUUGCCUAAUAAUCAUAAAAGUACAAAUGUGACACUCGCAGAGCAGCAGAAAAUAAAGCCUCGAUCAAAAAAUAGCAUAAAAGAAUUAAUAUGCCAACCUGAUAAGUAACAGUCUAACCCAAAAUAUCGUCGUUAUAUAUACAAGCAAUAUCAAUUAGAAACAAGCAUUUUUGAUAAAGGAGUUCGGACGCGUUUAAAGAUGUUGCAAUUAAGAAACACGGGGAAACAUAACGGGAGGAAAAAUACAAUAUCAGUAUAUACCUCAAAAUUCGAAAUGUUAGUGUCGAAUUCAAACAAGAAAAAAAGACCAGUGACAAAUUGUAGGAAAAAUAAAUCAUUAAUAAAAAGAAGUCCAUCCUAUUCCACAAUGCGCGCAUUGUUUAUUUUCCUUUUUAUUAUGAAUAGAACACACAAUGCUUACAUGAUACCUUGACGGGCCAUAUACACUGCCAUUUAGUGUAAUCAAUGCUAUUCCAAAGGACGGCGGGGUUGACUUGAAAGUCCCUUCCUUGUUAAGCAGUCUAAAAGAGUGUAAUAUUAGACCUUUACAAGUGUUGUUACACAAGCACAGGCUCACAGACAUAUAGAAUCCGAUACUUAAAGGGAAGCUGAAACACUUUUCGAAAAAAAUGAGUUCUCUGCGGCAUUCUACAGUUUUGAGUCCCCUGAACACGAAUAUCUCGUUCAAAAAGGGCGGAAACAAGCGCGAGCGGCUGUUUUUUCAUGAAAACGCGCACCAGCGCCUCAGGGUAUCGCGCGAACGCCGCUGUUGCCCGUGAUUGGUCGGAGCCGCUGUGACGUCAGUGGCGGCAGUCGCCGGUCGGCGCCGCCGUUUGAGAGCGUAGCACGCUGUUCUGUUCCGGCUGCAUAGCUGAGUUGUAAGCAUUAUGGAACGUUCUCGCUGUCUCGGACAGCUUGUAUUUUCGCCGUACAUGUUCGAACCGACAGCCGAUACGGAAAACGAUGGCGGCAACGACGAUGUUGAGUGUGCCAAAAGCGAGAGCGAUGUGUGCACCUUCUCGCGCGUUGGUAAUCUUAGCUGUUACGUAUGCUUUUUUUUUACGGGUACAAUUCCGCGAUGUCAAGCACCUCGCCGCUGCUUGUCUGAAGUCCCGUGGUUUUCUGAGCGUUGAUACACGAUCGCGAACAUAAGUGCCGCGUUUCAAAGCGCGCACAUGCAGUGCUGCGAGGUACAGUCAUGGAAGUUGCUUAUCAUACACAUCCAGAUCGAGAUGGUCAGGGGGAUUAUAUGUGCAAUAUUCAGAAUAUGGUUUGACGACUUUGCGAUUGUGGCUCGAUCAAGAAUCGGUAUGCGCGCUCCAUGCUAGUGUUGACAUAAAGAUAUUAGGCAGUUUUAGCACCGCCGUGUGGUAAACAUGAUAACUGCAACCGUACGUCGAUUGUCACUAGGCAAGCCUAUACUCCAAUUUAUACCUCAGGUGCAACGCUGUGGAAGCUACGCACGAAAUCCGGUUACCAAAAUUUAUUACUGCGCGCGUUUCCGUCUAUGGUUCGCAGCGUGCCAGCGGCAUUUGCUCGCGCGAGCAUGCACGUGAAGCUGCCGCGAAGAAUGCCGAAAAGAAAAUUGAUUUAAAAGAACGUGUUAGCAGCCGUAUAAGUACACGGAUUGUUUCUAUGGGUAAAUUCUUUUUUUUUUCAUUCAGAACUGAGCUUAUAUAUGAAGAGUUUUCUCAAAAAUCGGGUCAAGAAACACCGAACUUUUUCUAAGAGCGAACGCAGCCACUGCAAGAAGUAUCUCAAGCCUCCACAGCGUUGCACCUGAUGUAUGAAACGGAGUAUAGCAACGCUAGCAACAACGCGUUUCCGCAUUUGUCGUAAGGCUAUCCGGCUAUCGCGGAAAUGGUCCGAGCACAGCACAGUUGAUUUCGUCGGCACGAACUUAUCUCUCCUCACCGCACUGCGCUGCAAGCUUCUUGUCCUUCGGGAACCUGUGAAACACCACAUCGUCUCGCCCGCGUGUGUUCGCGCAGCCGAUUGCUGCACAGAACGAGGGCAUGUUGGGCGCCCUUGGCUGUAGGCACUCACGCAGCACAGAAGGAAAGAACAGUUUACGAAAAUCGCAAAACAAACGUGAGCGGCGGCGGCGGCAAAUCUCUCGUAGCGUCGUUCAGUAAAGCGCAGGACGGAAAGAGGCAUGCCAGCGCAUGCCAGCACGCCGGUCCGGCAGCUCGGUCCCCGCCAGUGACGUCACUCUCGCCGGUUCUCUCCUCUGGUAACCUCCUCACCCGGCGCUCCGGGAAGCGAUGGGGGCGUGUCCGCGGGGGUGAUUUAGAAAGCGAUUUUCGCCCCUUAUAUUAACAAAACGAAGAAAAAAAUUUCGGAACCGUAAAUUAUUAGGUCUGUUCUUCCCAAUCCCAGCAAUUCAUGGAAAUUGAAAACCGCUUCAGCUUCCCUUUAACUAGGGCUGGGCAGCCCGGCUUAGCGCGACAAAAGGGACGAAGAAAAUACACAAGCCAUGUCUCGCUUUUUCGCCUGCCUUCUUUCUUGUGUGCUGCGUCCCGCUUCAGGCAUAGCUUCAACUACGCAUCCGCACAACAAAUAACCCACCUUUUAGUCAUUCUGCAUACCGACACGAACAGAGUUCUAGUAAGAAGGCUGCUUUGCGUUCUGUAAUAUGGCAUGCGCCCUAUACACUCUUCACAAACGAACCCACUUUCCACUCGCCACGUAACCCUGCUCCAUAUUGUUACCAGUGUUUUCUUUUUCGUCAAUAAAUGCAAGAAUGUUGUCUCGC